GCUGUUGGUCAUAUAUGCCCUAUCUAACAUGGCGCCCAGGCAGCUUCUCUUCCUGUGUUUCCGUUUCUCGGCGCCAAUUUUCAAUCCCGCCGGCGGAAAACCCAGCCCAGUAAGAACUAAUUUCGUAGGCUUUGGAACUGACAUCUGGAAGAACUUACCAAUAAACAAGCGCCCGUUUACCUAAGUCCUGCCUCCUAUCCUUAGAGCUAUAUAAGCACUUAGCCUUUUGAAAUAAAGUGGAACUUCUCCGGUGACUUGUCUCCCGAAACCUGGGAGAAGGGUGAGCUCAUUUUAACAGAGCCCCAUUUCCGGCUCCACGGGACAUCUUGAUCUCGUCCACCUUUUCAGGCGCUGGCUCUUUACACCCACCACUGAUCGGGCUUGGCUUCUGCUUAGGAACUACCAGCCUCUGAUGACCGAUGAACCCCGAAUAUCUUCAAGAGAACAGCUCACUCAGUGCUGAAGCUUACUACCAGGCACAAUGAAAAACGACGGACAUCGGACAGCGGGAGACAAAAAUCCAGGAUGGCAGAGGAUCUCUUAACCUGUCAACCGGGAUUUUUGAGCCUUCAUGUCCUUCUAAGCCUCCUCAUGGCCCUUGGCCUCUUCUCUGUCAGUCCCCCAGCAUGGAACUCCCACCGAAAACUGACCUUUGUUUUAAUUCUUAUCUUCAUCUUGUUCUUGUUUGCUCUGAUCUUCUUCAGGUGCUGGUGACGCCCCUUAUGACAGGGACACUAGGAAAUAUUGGAAGCGCUAUUUUGACAUGACAUUGGCGCUCCCGAUGCUUCCUGGAGCCCUUGUUACGAGACCUAAUGGCUGGUGACCAACCCCAACAACCUCCUCCAUCCAGGGAUAACGCCCCACGCCACCCCUACUCAGCAGGAAGUAGCCAGAGUCGAAUGACGUCCCUGUUCCAAAAACAACACAAAAGAGGGGGAAAUGUUGGUCAUAUAUGCUCUAUCUAACAUGGCACCCAGGUAGCUUCUCUUCCUGUGUCUUCGUUUCCACCAGCGCCAAUUUUCAAUUCCACUGGCAGAAAACCCAGCCCAAUAAGAACUAAUUUCGUAGGCUCCAGAACUGAUAUCUGGAAGAACUUACCAAUAAACAAGCACCCUGUCGUUUACCUAAGUCCUGCCUCCUAUCCUUAGAUCUAUAUAAGCACAUAGCCUUUUGAAAUAAAGUGGAACUUCUCCCGUGAUUUGUCUCGCAUCGGUUCUUCUUUCAGGGGCAACGGUCGAUCCCUUAGUGACCUAGGUAAGAGUGACAUCCAUAGAGGACCCGGGGCGUAGAGAACAGCCCCUACCAGGAGGCUGUUAUAGGGGACCUGGGGCAGAGCUGCUUUCUAAGCCUCUGGGGGAAAAGACUAAGUAUUGGGUGUCCUCAGAGCCCCAGGCUGGAGCCUCAUGCCCAGUAAAAUACUCCUGCUGGAAUUGAAGCCAGACCAACAUCCCUGCUCCAAGUCACAUGCUUCCUUAUUUGCAGGUCAGAGGAAAAAGUGUCAGGGCCAGGAGAGGUGUUUCUGUGGCCAUCCUUGGAUGGAGAACAGUUUUAGGGAGAAUUGGAGAAUAGAGGGCAAGUGGGGAAGCACCAUAGUUCUGCCUUGGGACUACAGUUUUCCACGUGAAUGUUUGUCUGUUCCCUUUGUAACCACUGGAAAGCUGGGUCCUGGUUCCCAGUGUCAAUUGAAUAAUGAGGAUAUAGUUUUGAGAAAAAGGAAAAAAGAUUUAUUGCUUUGCUAGCAAAGGAGAAACACAGGGAUCUCCUGUCCCUGAGGCUGUGCUUCUGCCUAUCAGGGAGAACUGGGCUUUAAAAGAAGCUAUUCAAAGACCACACAAAAUAGGGCUGAGGAUGUGGCUCAGUGUUCAAGUGCCCCUGAGUUCAAUCCUUGUCCUCACCCCCUCCCCCCCAAAAAGGCUACAUUCCAGGGGUGUCCUGACAGGGGAUCCCAGGUGCAACCUGAAGGUGUGUUGAAAUUCACUUCUUAGAUCCUCUGGUAGAUAUCUCCUUCCUGUGGUGAGUGUGUUCAAGGACAAUUAACUAGGGGAAGAAAAGAUAACUGUCUCCCUCAUGUUAGGGAGGGGAAGAGGGGAGAAGAGAGAAAAGCACAUGUCCCUUUAAAAAUAAGACUCAGAGCAAGGAGGGCUAUGUACAAAAGAUAAAGUAGACCACUGUUACACCUUCAGCUUUGUUUUCAGAAAUGUUUAACAUUGGCUUCACUAAUGCUUUCAACAAAUAUUAAUAAGUAUCUUCCAGGUGCCAGGUACUGACCAGGAACAGAACAAGCAAAACAUCCUGUCUUCAUGCAGUGCAAAUUCUAGCAGGUGACUGGAACAGUAACCAUCCUGCUCAUGAGGAAGCCAGAAGAGUCUACAGAAGAGAAAAUGGAAGAGAUGGACAAAGAGCUACAGAGGUGAGUGAGGUUAAGAAAAGAGCCUCUGGGGAUUCUGCCGAGUUUUACAGUUCCUGUUUGCACUCCUGGCUCACCUUUGCCCUGGAGAUAACUCCUUAAUAAUAACAUAGACUUACUUAUUAUUUACUUACACUGGUACCUUUUGAAACUUGGAAUUAAAAAGACCACAUCUGUGGUGCUCGGAUCUAACAGAUGAAAAAUGUCACCAGAAGGUUUUAUAUAAUUAUAAUGCACCAAUAAAAAAUAUGGGAAAAAAAUGUCACCAGUAGUGUAGUCAUUAAAACAAAUGUUUAUAUGAAUGCAGGAAGUCAGAAUGAAAUGAGAGGCAUUUCCAGAGGCCACUAAGAGCAGCAAUAAAUAAACAAAUGGCCCAUAAAAAGAAUGAAGUCCCUAUAAAAAGCAGAGCAGAGAACUGUAAAAAGCUUAUCAGUCUAGGACCAUUUAGACCAUGAGAGGCCAGCAGAGACAGACCCAAGUGUUCAUAAGGCUUCAUUAGGUUGUAGAGCUUGGUAAGACUGAUGUGUGUUACAAUGGCUUUUAGCCAUAAAAGCCCAGUGAGAUCAUGUUCUUUGUUCCUGAAUGUCUUCACCAAAAAUUGUUUACAUGUUUAGGCAUUUAAAAAGGUAAGAUUCAUUUAUAUGGCAUACAGAUAUUGUGAAAUUUAUCAGUUUAUAACAUAAUGACAGAUGCAUGUGCAAAUAUAUGUGUACUUGUACAUCCAGAAAUAGAACAUCUCAAUAAAGAAUAAGGAGAUAGUAAAAGUGAGAAAUAUUUAAAAAUUUUAAUGUAUAUAUGAAUUCAAAUGCACUAAUUAAAAUGAUAAUAAUAGAAGGUAGAUUAGUAGAGAAGAAUAGGGAGGGUGGAGGGGAGGGAAAGAGAAGGUGCUGGGGAAGGACACUGAUCACACUACAUGCAUUUACAGAUAUAGCAUCGUGCAUUCUAUUAUGUAUCAUUACAAUGCAUCAAUAAAUUUAUUUUCUGUUUUUC